CGAACAAUUCUACUAUUGGUCAGUACUUUUGGCGGUUUAAUUCUUUUGUUCUAUAUCUUAUGGGAAGACAUCUUGUGGUCAACACCUAUAUUUACCUGCCUGCAAAUUAACAACUUUAUAAAUUAAUCUAUAACAAUUCUGUGAUUGGAGUUUCAUUUAUAAGGUAUAUUUAAACCUUACUGUACUAAAGAUGUAGUGUAUAAUAUGGUUUAUAUGGAAAUGUGCCACUUGCACGAUAUGUGAGGGCUUUAUUUACAUUACCAUUACUUCGUUAGUCUGAAAUAAAAGUUACAGAACCCUAUUCAGAAGUUUAGUUGUUAUUUACUGAAAGCCUC